rnacentral:rRNA from 1 species
AUUGAACGCUGGCGGCAGGCCUAACGCAUGCAAGUCGAGCGGAUGAAGGGAGCUUGCUCCUGGAUUCAGCGGCGGACGGGUGAGUAAUGCCUAGGAAUCUGCCUGGUAGUGGGGGAUAACGUCCGGAAACGGGCGCUAAUACCGCAUACGUCCUGAGGGAGAAAGUGGGGGAUCUUCGGACCUCACGCUAUCAGACGAGCCUAGGUCGGAUUAGCUAGUUGGUGGGGUAAAGGCCUACCAAGGCGACGAUCCGUAACUGGUCUGAGAGGAUGAUCAGUCACACUGGAACUGAGACACGGUCCAGACUCCUACGGGAGGCAGCAGUGGGGAAUAUUGGACAAUGGGCGAAAGCCUGAUCCAGCCAUGCCGCGUGUGUGAAGAAGGUCUUCGGAUUGUAAAGCACUUUAAGUUGGGAGGAAGGGCAGUAAGUUAAUACCUUGCUGUUUUGACGUUACCAACAGAAUAAGCACCGGCUAACUUCGUG